UAGCGUAGUGGUUAAGCAUUUGGCUGCUAACCAAAAGGUCGGCAGUUCAAAUCCACC
rfam:Loxodonta africana unplaced genomic scaffold scaffold_17, whole genome shotgun sequence.